UAUAAAUUACACAGCUUCAGGUAUUUCUUUAUAGCAAUGAAGAAUGGCCUAACACAGGGGCACAGGGCAUCUUCACCAAGUGUGGUCCCUGCAGCAAUGCUACAGAGUGUUCAUAGAUGACACUGGGUGCUGGAAACUAGACAUGGCAAAGGGAAGAGGAAAUAAAGACUUGGGGGAAAAGCCCAAGAUGAAGAAGAAAGAGAAAAGGAAGAGUGUAAGUGUAGUUAUGGAUAUACAACCAUACUCAGGGGUCACGUGGGCAGUGGGGACAGAAAUUAAUCCAUGGACCCUCAUUUUUUUUCAAAUGCAGAAUGUAAUAAUAGUAGUAGAAAUGACAGUAAUAAAUAAUAUUCACAGAGGUAUCAAAAACUCUGAUGGCCAUUAAGAAUCUCCGCUUUGGUCACCUCCCACACAGGGGAUUACAUUUCAACAGGAGAUUUCGUGGGGGCACAGAUUUUGACAGUUUCUCCAACGAUAAAUUGAGUUGUUUUUCACUAGCUGCUGUUUUUAGGAAACUGAGCCCUGGAAAGGUGUUUAACUUAUUUGCCAGCUCACUAUCUCCAGGGAUUUUGACUAGCAUUUAAUUGUUUCCCUCUUAACAACGAAUGUAUUAAGAAAAUUCUGUAAACGUAGGCAAAUCACUAACCCAUUAUAAGGUUUAUUAUUUCUCAGUCUAAAUUGUGUUUGCAUUUGUUAUGGGAGUGGUGGUAAGAGCAUUCAAAAUUAUUGAAGUGUCUUGAGGUGGUGAUUCUGGUUAAUGUUUGACAGUGGUCAUCGUGAUGAGCCUUUGUGUGAGUGUGUCUGGGCAGGACUGGCUACUUAAUUUGCAGGGCCCAGUGAAAAAUUAAAAUGUGGGACUUCGACAAGGACCCAGACACCCCCUACCCAAGGGCUGAACUCUAACACAGGGAGAGCAGCCCACUCCCUACAGAUUGCAACCUCCCUUUCAGGAUGUGCUAGGUAUCUGAAUUGGCACCUGCCAAUUUGCAUUCUGAGUGCACCCUAAUGCUGCAGGAAUGAGGCAGGGCUGGUAUCCACCUUGCCCUGCCCCAAGACAGCACAGCACACAUACCUAUCCUGACCGUCCCCAAGCCUGCACCUAGGACUUGCAGGUGGCCAAGAACUAUACUGAACAGAAACUUGCUCUGGUUGUGCCUCAUAUAGAACAGUAACCUUUCUAGGGAAUUUUAAAAAGUAUUUUCAAAUUCAAUUAAGAUAAACCUUGCAAGAUUGUCCCAAACAAAUGCUAUUUUGAAAAUUAUCCCCCUUAUGAGGCCAUGAACAAUUUCCAACAACACAGAAUAAUUCAUGGCUGCCCUUUUAAUUUUUAUUUGUUUAUUUAUUGUUUUUUAGAAAUGUGGUCUCACUAUGUUGACCAACCUGGAAUGCUGUGGCUAUUUACAGACACAAUCAUAGAACUUACAGCCUCAAAAAUCUUGUGCUCAGUGGAUCAUCCUGCCUCAGCCUCCCUAGUAGCUGGUGCUACUGUGCCAAGCUAAUUCAUGGCUCUCUUUUUUAUCCAAAUCUGGGAACCAGUUUAUAGUCUCAUCACUGAGAGUCGUCACUUUCCCUUACAUCCAAUUAUAGUAUGUAGCUAGCUAUCUGUUAUUUUAUAUAUUAUAUAGUAUUAGAUAUAUAUAAAUAAGCAUGUAUAUGUGUAUUUUUUUUCAGUUAGAGAAGUGAGUUUAUGUCAAUGCUAAGUUCUAAUUUCCAACAAACUCCCUUUCAAGGAAGUGGCAUUUUCAUUAGCCUUUAUAUUCACAGACAAACCCAAUACACAGCUAUUAUUAGGGAAAAUGUGUCCCAUUAUGAAUCUGUUUGAGAAAUGACAAAUAAUAUUGAAACUAUCCUAAUGUGGUAAUUUGAUGGAAUAAAAUAGUUUCAAACACCUCUUUACUCCCAUUUAAUUUCACCUUUACUCAUGGGUAAUCACUGAUGUAACUCAUUGUUCAUAAGCUUUUCUAAAAAUUGAGGAAUCAUUUUGCUAUGAGACGUUCAUUUGGAGAUCUAGAAAGUCAUCUCAAAUUUAGAGGAGACUUCUUUCAUACAUAUCUUUACACUAAUUUUGUUUACAGCCAAGAAGGAUCGUGUCAGUCCUGCAACUUGUCAGUGGAAUUAAAUUUCAGGCGUUUUAAAGAUAAAUGGUAAAACUGAACUGGAAAUCCAUCUGGCCGGCUGCCUGCUCUAAUGAAUAACCCCACUUUGGCUCGUGCAAUGACUUCUUCCCUUUGGAAUGCAAGUGCGGUGGCAGUGUCAAGGAUGCCUGUGUGUUUGCAGCAGGUUCCUUCCAGAAGCAGCUGCAAGUGCCACCUCCAGGCCAUCUGGCCAAUGUGAGGAAAGGAGGCUGCAAGGGCUUGGCAAAAACAACUUUCUGUUCCUCUGGUAUCCCCUGAUAACUGAUUUCAAGUUAUGGCCAAGGACUGCCUUAUCGCCGUCAGUGGCUGUCAAAAAUUUAUAAGUAUAUUCAUUUCCCUAUUCAACUUAAUUGGUAUUUUGGGUAUGACACUAGAAAAGCAAGUUAGACUUGCCUGUUGGAGUCCAAGGAUACCUCCAACAAAAUUCUAGACAAUAAAAGAAAGGGUAAGUGUCUGAGGGGAGGGGGCACUUACAAAUUAUUCCAUUUAAUGCUAAUUCGAGGCUUCCAGAUUCAUUUUGGGAAAAUCAAAGAGCAAGAGCUGUAUGCAUGGCUUUUUAAAACACAAAGAAAAUUGGGAAGCAUGGGCUUCCCAAUUUUCCUGCGCAUAAACUUCUAGAACAAUUUCUAUUGUUGAUACUUUAAAAAAAAUCUUUUUCUUUUCUGUGAUGUGGUCUUUUAAACUCAUACCACAACUUAUGGCUCCCUCUACUUCCUAUAUUUUAAUUGAUCUUGAGGUUAUUUUCAAGUCACUGGGCUUAAUGAACAAAUAUUUUAGAAUUUCUUCCUUUAUAUACACUCAUUUCUGUCUCAAUAAAAUGUCUAAUCAGGAAUUCACUUGUGUAGAAAAUAAAAAAUAGAAGUACAUACCCUUCAA
rnacentral:lncRNA from 1 species